UUAAAUCGGGCGAAAGAAAUAAAUGGAAACAGCAGACUUUUCCUGCAGAGGGAACCCCAACUGUUAAACCUCCUGGCAACCAAAAGAAUUGAAAGUCAUUUUUCUUAAAUAUGUAGCUGUCAGCUGCUACUUGCUCAUCUCCAGUUUCACCAGGGAUAGAUAGAUGGAGAUGGCCUUUCUCAGAUGACGAGAUCAUAAUCCAGUCUCAUUGGUCAGGAAUCACAGCUGCUGACCUGUCCAAACAACGGAUGAAGGUGCAGGAACUUGGUGUACCAAUCUAGGAAGAUUUGUAAAAAGAGAGAAGUGGCGGUAUAGAGGGCAAAAUGGCUUACAUCUGCGAUUGCUUGCAUCUGGUCAAAUGAAGUCCAAACUAAAUGGAACAGCAACCCAUUUGCAUACACAAAAGUCUUCUUAAUCACCUACAAAUCAGAGAUACUGCCUGGAUGAAUCCCUGCAGUUUUCUUGGCAAGUUUGAUCAGAAUUGGUUUUCCACCGCCUCCUUCCUAGGACUGACGGAGGGACUGGCCCAAGGUCAUUCAGCUGAUUUUAUGCCUAAGGCAGAACUGGAACUCACAAUGUCCUGAUUUCAAGCCUGAGGUCUUUACCAUCAUACCAAACUGGUUUUUUAAUGUGGAGAUAUAAUCCAUUUUAAUUCAUAAAACAUGCCUGCACUUGAGUAACUGUUGUCCUUUCACGGCACUUUAAACCUGGUUCUCAUUGAACCACAGUUGCAACAACCCGAUACAACACAGCCACUUAACAAUAAUUGCUGGAAAGUUGAAUUCAGCACUAGCAGAGGGCCUCGUAUUUUGGCCUUAAAAGCUGCCUCUUCAGCAGGGGAAUUCUGGGAGCUGAAGAAUUGCCAAGACUAGCUUAAACCGAUAAUGAGCUUGUAUUUGUUGCAUACACGUUUGCUAUCAGCAUUUGAUAAUAAAUUGCAGGUCUGUGGCUCCA